rnacentral:rRNA from 1 species
UACGUAGGGUGCGAGCGUUAAUCGGAAUUACUGGGCGUAAAGCGUGCGCAGGCGGUUCGUUGUGUCGGUGGUGAAAGCCCCGGGCUUAACCUGGGAAUGGCCAUGGAAACUGGCGAACUGGAGUGUGGCAGAGGGGGGUGGAAUUCCGCGUGUAGCAGUGAAAUGCGUAGAUAUCGUGAGGAAGACCAGUGGCGAAGGCGGGUCUCUGGACAGUUCCUGACGCUGAGACACGAAGGCCAGGGGAGCAAACGGG